AAGCUGCGGUUCACCAGGACUAUGCGAUUUUUGCGCGUGAGGCACAGACGGCAGCAGCCAAAAGUGCACAUCCGCGUGCGUGUGAGGAGCUCCUGCGCCUUGCA
rnacentral:SRP_RNA from 1 species